UCACAAUGGCCUCAUUUAACAAUCACUGGGGUCACAAUGGCCUCAUUUCACAUUCACUGGGGUCACAAUGGCCUCCUUUAACUAUCACUGGGGUCACAAUGGCCUCAUUUAACAUUCACUGGGAUCACAUUGGCCUCAUUUAACUAUCCCUAAGAUUGCAACAACCUCAUUUAACAAUCAUUGGGAUCACAAUGGAUCCCAGAAAUCAGACUCAGUUUAGCUGAUUGUUUAGCCCCAAUGCCCAAGCUUCCAGUCAUUUGUUACUGGUGGUCACACCUUCAUUUGCCCACAUGAUUACAAUGUGUGAAGUCCAUUCCUGGUGUUCCCAUGCCAUGAUGUGGCUGGAAUAUUGCUAAAAGCAGGUGACAACUCCAUCACUCCCUCCAACCUAGAUGUGAUACUUUAUGUUAUAGCUUCCUGGGGUUUGUGGGUCCACUGUUACAGUACAUAUAUUUUCCAGAGUAUGCUGUUUUUGUACUGUCCCUAUGGUUCACGGCUCUUUGUUAUUUAUCUAGGCAAUGUUUUGCUGCUUGUUGAUUAAUCAUUGUACCUCAUCAUAUCACUUGUACAUAAAUACAAACUGAUAAAAUACAAACUGAAAGUAC